CGUGCAGGCGGUAGCGUAAGUCGUGCGUGAAAGCUCCCUGGCUCAACCGGGAGAGGUCGUGCGAUACUGCGUUACUAGAGACAGGUAGAGGCAAGUAGAAUUCCGGGUGUAGUGGUGAAAUGCGUAGAUAUCCGGAGGAAUACCAGUGGCGAAGGCGGCUUGCUGGGCCUGAUCUGACGCUCAGACGCGAAAGCAUGGGUAGCGAACG
rnacentral:rRNA from 1 species